CUCUAUUGACCUCUAUGGGUCCGUUGUGGCCCAUACUGGUCCCUCUUGGUCUAUACUGGUUUCUACUGGUCCAUACUGGUCUAUACUGGGCCAUACUGGUUUAUAUUGGUCCAUACUGGUCCAUACUGGUGUUGGAAUGGGUUGGACAAUGGGCUCUCCUGGGAUCUUCUAUUGGUUCCUAUGGGCCUCUAUUGACCACUAUGGGUCCGUUGUGGCCCAUACUGUUCUAUACUGGUCCAUACUGGUCCAUACUGGUCUAUACUGGUCCAUACUGGUCCAUACUGGUCUAUACUGGUCCAUACUGGUUUAUACUGGUCCAUACUGGUCCAUACUGGUGUUGGAAGGGGUUGGACAAUGGGUUCUCCUGGGAUCUUCUAUUGGUUCCUAUGGGCCUCUAUUGACCACUAUGGGUCCCUAUUGGUCUAUACUGGUUUCUACUGGUCCUUACUGGUCCAUACUGGUCCAUACUGGUCCAUACUGGUCUAUACUGGUCCAUACUGGUGUGGGAAGGGGUUGGACAAUGGGUUCUCCUGGGAUCUUCUAUUGGUUCCUAUGGCUCUCUAUGGACCCCUAUGGGUCCCUAUUGGUCUAUACUGGUUUCUACUGGUCCAUACUGGUCCCUAUUGGUCCAUACUGGUCCAUACUGGUCCAUACUGGUCCAUACUGGUGUUUGAUAGGGGUGCAACAAUGGGUUCUCCUGGGAUCUUCUACUGCUUCCUAUGGGCCUCUAUUGACCACUAUGGGUCCCUAUUGGUCCAUACUGGUUUCUACUGGUCCGUACUGGUCCAUACUGGUUUCUACUGGUCCAUACUCGUUCAUACUGGUUUCUACUGGUCUAUACUGGUCCAUACUGGUGUUGGAAAAGGUUGGACAAUGGGCUCUCCUGGGAUCUUCUAUUGGUUCCUAUGGCUCUCUAUGGACCCUAUGGGUCCCUAUUUGUCUAUACUGGUUUCUACUGGUCCAUACUGGUCCAUACUGGUCUAUACUGGUCCAUACUGGUCCAUACUGGUGUGGGAAGGGGUUGGACAAUGGGUUCUCCUGGGAUCUUCUAUUGGUUCCUAUGGCUCUCUAUUGACCCCUAUGGGUCUCUAUUGGUCUAUACUGGUUUCUACUGG
ensembl:lncRNA